rfam:Smittium mucronatum strain ALG-7-W6 scaffold-25691, whole genome shotgun sequence.
GGGGAGAUAGCUCAAUGGUAGAGCUUACUGCUCAUAACAGGAAAGAUAUUAGUUCAAAUCUAAUUCUCCUCA